rnacentral:rRNA from 1 species
UACAGAGGGGGCAAGCGUUGUUCGGAAUUACUGGGCGUAAAGGGCGCGUAGGCGGCCUCCUAAGUCGAACGUGAAAUCCCCGGGCUCAACCCGGGAACUGCGUCCGAGACUGGAAGGCUCGAAUCCGGGAGAGGGAUGUGGAAUUCCAGGUGUAGCGGUGAAAUGCGUAGAUAUCUGGAGGAACAUCGGUGGCGAAGGCGGCAUCCUGGACCGGUAUUGACGCUGAGGCGCGAAAGCCAGGGGAGCAAACGGG